rnacentral:ncRNA from 19 species
ACCAUAUUAUUAUAAAAAGGUGCCUGUGAUUUUCUCCACAGGAUAAUAGGGAAAAGAGUGAAAUUCUCUUACGGUCCCGCCGCUGUAUUGGAAGAUCUAUAUUUUAUUAUGUCACUGGGAAACUGGGAAGACAAAAUAUAGAGAUAAUUCUUAAGUCAGAAGACCUGCCUUUUUUAUCGGAUAUAUA